GGAUAUUUGGAUCACUGGGAUUUGGGAUAUUUGGGGUCUUUGGGAUUUGGGAUCUCUGGGAUUUGGGGAUUUUGGAUGUUGGGAUCUUUGGGAUUUGGGAUAUUUGGGGUCUUUGGGAUUCAGGGUAUUGGGAUCUGGAAUCUUUGGGAUUUGGGAUAUUGGGAUUUUUGGGAUGUUUGGGAUGUUUGGGAUUUGGGAUCUUUGGGAUAUUGGGAUCACUGGGAGUUGGGAUCUUUGGGAUUGUGGAUUUGGGAUCUUUGGGAUCACUGGGAUUUAGGGAUUUGGGAUAUUGGGAUUUGGGAUAUUGGGAUCACUGGGGUUUGGGAUCUCGGGGAUUUGGGAUCUCGGGGAUUUGGGAUUCAGGAUUUUUGGGAUUCUGGAUUUUGGGGAUCCCAGGAUUUUGGGGAUUCAGGAUUUUUGAGAUCUCAGGGAUUUGGGAUCUCGGGGAUUUGGGAUCCCAGGAUUUUUGGGAUUCAGGAUUUUUGGGAUCAGGGAAUUUGGGAUCUCAGGGAUUUGGGAUCCCAGGAUUUUUGGGAUUCAGGAUUUUUGGGAUCUCAGGGAUUUGGGAUUCAGGAUUUUUGGGAUUCAGGAUUUUUGGGAUCCCAGGGAUUUGGGAUCUCAGGGAUUUGGGAUUCAGGAUUUUUGGGAUUCAGGAUUUUUGGGAUCUCAGGGAUUUGGGGUCUCAGGAUUUUGGGGAUUCAGGAUUUUUGGGAUCAGGGAAUUUGGGAUCAGGGAAUUUGGGAUCCCAGGAUUUUUGGGAUUCAGGAUUUUUGGGAUCAGGGAAUUGGGAUCCCAGGAUUUUUGGGAUCAGGGAAUUUGGGAUCCCAGGAUUUUUGGGAUUCAGGAUUUUUGGGAUUCAGGAUUUUUGGGAUCAGGGAAUUUGGGAUUUUCCAGGUGCGCCGGAGCAAUUCCCUGCGGGAUCUGGUGGCCGUGGCCGGGCCCUUGGGGGUCUCCCAGUUCCUGGUGCUGAGCAAAUCCCAGACCGGGAUCAACCUGGUGAGAAUUCCGGGAAUUUUGGGAAUUUGGGGGGUUCCAGGGGGUCCCAACCCCUG
rnacentral:lncRNA from 1 species